UAAGCUGAAGGGAUCUGCUGUGGUCUCUCUCUUCCAUUUCUAUAAAUGCCUCUGUGGGGUGAUGAGCAUCCUGCACAAAGAAAGCCAUGUGAGCCACCGUAAAGUAUCCCUUGGACGUGGGGUUUGGGAGGUCACUGCCUGGGUGGGCUUGGCAGGUAGCAGUUAACUUCGAGGAUGGCCAAGCCUUUCCUGUUCCUUGUUUGUGUUGCUCUGUUGAGGCUGGGUCUCCUGUAACCCAGGUCUGAAACAGUGUAGCAGAGGACCUCCUGGGACUCCUGAUCCUCCUUCAUCUGCCUCCUCCAUGCUGGGCUUACAGGCGUGCACCACCACACCCGGUUUAUUUGUUGCUAAGAGUGGGAGCCAAGGCUUUAUGCAUCUAGGCAUGUAUUGUAUGUACCAGCUGAGCCCCAGCCCGGCCCUCAGCAAAUUUCUCCGUGGCUAGGUGUGUCUUUCAUAAACACUGGUCCGUUACAGCCCAGCCUGUGCCUUGUUUUUUUUUAAGGAACUAAGCAUUACGAAAGACGCUGCCAGUUCUCUGUCUACAUCUCCUCUGUCCAGCCCAGUCAGCAGAUAGGCAUGUGUGAGCAGGGCCCUGCCAGGGAGUAUCAGAAAAGAAUUUCUCAGGCGAGCAAGAUGGCUCAGCAGGUAAAGGUACUCACCGCCAAGAGAGAUGACCUGAGUUCAAUGACCUCUACACACACACACACAUACAUACACACACGCACACGCUUGCACAUACACCACACAAUGUUUAAAACAAGUAUUUCUCACUACGUACCAUGACUCACUCACUGGUCAUGAAGUGCACGGGAGAGAUCGCUCUCGGAUGAGCUGUCCUUGGACUUGGAUGAUCUCAUUUUCUUCCUCCUCUAUACGCGUCUGUGUAACGAUGUGUGAUAACUACUGUUAUUUUUGGUUCUGAAACCAAGUAAAAGAGAAGAUUCCUUUCGACACCCUCCGCACCUUCCUGUCUGUCUCUUCUGUCUCUCCCUCGCUUCUCUGUAGUUUCUGACUUUGGACUGUGGAGAGCUAGCAUCGUGAUGUGACAGCAGGGGCCCUCCUGUAGGAACCCAAGAAGCGUGCCCACAAAUCUUUUUUUUUGUUGUUCUUGUUUUUACUUGUUUUUAUUUUUAUUAUCUGACUGUCUGUCUAUUUAUGGGUUUUUAAGACAGGUUUUCCCUGUGUUGCCCUGGCUGUCCUGGAACUCACUCUGUACACUAGGCUGGCCUUGAACUCAGAAAUCUGUCUGACUCUGCCCCUGAGUGUUGGGACUAAAGGUGCGCACCACCACCGCCAGCCUUAAGCUGUUUUUAUUUUUAGCUCUUGCAUCUGUUGAGCGUAUGCCUCCUGUGUGCAGGUACCCAAGUAGAGUGAGACUGCCUGACAGGGGUGCUGGGAACAGAACUCGGUCCUCUGCAAGGGCAGCAAGCACUCAUCACCACUGAGCCAUCUUGCCAGCCAUCGCCAAAUCUUAUGGGAGUGCUUCAACCCAUCUCAAGAUAUCUAGAAGAGGCGGUACCUAGUCAGUACCAUUUUUACUUUUGGGGGGCAGGGUCUCGUGUAGCUGAGAAUGACCCAAACUCCUUACAUAGCCAAGAAUGACCUUGAAGUUCUGGUCUUCCAGCCUCUGUCUCCUGAAGGUAGAGAUUACAGGUGUGCUCUACUAAGACAGGUUUAUUUAUGCAGUGCUGGAGAUGGAACCCAAGGACUCGUGCAUCAUAGACUCUGUGCAUCAGUGGACUGUCUGUGGGUCUUCUCAUGCAUGAUUGACUGUGCAUCAGUGGACCGUCUGUGGGUCUUCUCAUGCAUGAUUGACUGUGCAUCAGUGGACCGUCUGUGGGUCUUCUCAUGCAUGAUUGACUGUGCAUCAGUGGACUGUCUGUGGGUCUUCUUAUAUAUCAUAGACUCUGUCCAUCAGUGGACCAUCUGUAGGUCUUCUCAUGCACCGUAGACUCCCUCUAUCAGUGGACCAUCUGUGGGUCUUCUCAUGCACCGUAGACUCCCUCCAUCAGUGGACCGUCUGUGGGUCUUCCUGUGCUGCUGCUGCUGGAGAAUAUCGUGUGGUUUCUUUUGGUUUUAAUUAUAUUUAAUCUGUGUAUUUGGGUGCAUGCAUGGCAUGUGUGGAGGUUAAAGGACAACUUGCAAGAGUUGGUUCUCUCCUUCUACCAAGUGUGUUUCAGGGACCAAACUCAGGUCAUCAGGUUUGAUAGCAAGCACUUGUAACUGAGCCAUUCAUUCUGUGGCCUGCCUGCCUGCCUGCCUUCCUUCCUGCCUGCCUUCCUUCCUUCCUUCCUUCCUUCCUUCCUUCCUUCCUUCCUUCCUUCCUUCAUUUUCUUUUUGACACAAGGACUUAUUAUAUAGCUCAGGCUGGCCCUGAACUUGCCGUCCACAUUCCUCUGGGUCCUGCAGUUCUGUAUGCGCCACCAGGCCCAGCUGAGAGAGGACUUCUGACUUCCGUGUUUGUCCACAUGAGAAUUCUCACUGGUGUUUACUGAUUUCUGAUUUCUUCCAUGGCACAGUGUACCCAGUAGCCAUAUGUUCAGCCUCAUGAAUCUGCCACAGAGUAUUUAUCAGCACGAACUUCACACUAGCUUAAGAAAUGAGAAUGCCGGGUGUGAUGGUGUGCACCUUUAAUCCCAGCUCUCCUGUGGUUAGAUAGAAGCUCACAGGCUAGCUAGCCUGGAGAACACAGUUCAGCAGGUAUAAAGAGAGACCCUGCCUCAAAACACGUUGGGAGGAGAGAACCAAUCCACCAAAGUUGUCCUGUG
rnacentral:lncRNA from 1 species